rnacentral:rRNA from 1 species
AGUGAACGCUGGCGGUAGGCCUAACACAUGCAAGUCGAACGGCAGCACAGUAAUAGCUUGCUCUUACGGGUGGCGAGUGGCGGACGGGUGAGGAAUAAAUCGGAAUCUACUUUUUCGUGGGGGACAACGCAGGGAAACUUACGCUAAUACCGCACACGACCUACGGGUGAAAGCAGGGGACCUUCGGCCCUUGCGUGACUGACUGAGCCCUCGCAGGUUUAGCUAGUUGGCGGGCUAACGUCCCACCAAGGAGACGAUCCGUAGCUGGUCUGAGCGGAUGAUCAGCCCUCCUGGAACUGGGACACGGUCCAGACUCCUACGGGAGGCAGCAGUGAGGAAUAUUGGACAAUGGGCGCAAGCCUGAUCCAGCCAUACCGCGUGGGUGAAGAAGGCCUUCAGGUUGUAAAGCCCUUUUGUUGGGAAAGAAAAGCAGCAUGUUAAUACCCCGCUGUUCUGACGGUACCCAAAGAAUAAGCACCGGCUAACUUCGUG